rnacentral:rRNA from 1 species
GAUGAACGCUGGCGGCGUGCCUAAUACAUGCAAGUCGAGCGAACGGACGAGAAGCUUGCUUCUCUGAUGUUAGCGGCGGACGGGUGAGUAACACGUGGAUAACCUACCUAUAAGACUGGGAUAACUUCGGGAAACCGGAGCUAAUACCGGAUGAUAUUUUGAACCGCAUGGUUCAAAAGUGAAAGACGGUCUUGCUGUCACUUAUAGAUGGAUCCGCGCUGCAUUAGCUAGUUGGUAAGGUAACGGCUUACCAAGGCAACGAUGCAUAGCCGACCUGAGAGGGUGAUCGGCCACACUGGAACUGAGACACGGUCCAGACUCCUACGGGAGGCAGCAGUAGGGAAUCUUCCGCAAUGGGCGAAAGCCUGACGGAGCAACGCCGCGUGAGUGAUGAAGGACUUCGGAUCGUAAAACUCUGUUAUUAGGGAAGAACAUAUGUGUAAGUAACUGUGCACAUCUUGACGGUACCUAAUCAGAAAGCCACGGCUAACUACGCG